UCAGAACCUGAAUUCGACUCAUCCGAUGAAGGUACCGAAACAAUAUGCAUGAUUCUACCAGGGGGAUAAAACCUAUGGCUGUCCAUGUUGUCUGAUGUUGUGAUUGAAUUGCUACUGCAUUCAGCAGCAUCAACAAGUUGAUUCUCUUCUUCUGUGAUCUCUUUUGCUGCUGCAGCCUCUUCUUCUUGAGCAUGAAUGUUCAUCGCAUUAUCCUGUUUCUGAAGCUCCUUCUCCAGUUCGUACCAUAAUUGGCCUUCCGUGAAAUCACUGACAGCGGAUGCGGUAAUGUCUUCAUUAGCAGGGAUGAGUUGUUCAUCUUCAUCUGUGUCAUCAUGACCGGAUCCUCCACUUGAAGUGUUUUCAUCCUUAAGCAUAGGUUCUCUCACUACCUCUUCAGUCAUAAGAGUUUCUGUGCUUCUCUCGGAUAUUAGACAGGCUUCAGUUAUGUCCUCUGCUUUAGAGUUUAAAGAUGUACCCACGUUUCUGCGGCGUGCACUCAUGCAAGACCAUGAUGACAAUGAUGAACGAGUUCUGACAACAGCUUCAGCAACACUUUGUGCACGCUUCAUCACAACCUGCAAGUAUAAAAUAGAAUCUCCAUCAAUCAAGGGUGAACUAUGGGAAAUCCCUGAACUAAUCAAGUAUCUGUAAUAUAGGUCUCAAUAAUAUCAACAGAUAAAACAUCCCUUCAUGUUAAGCAAAAAUAAAUAACUAAAAACUUUGCCAAUUUCUGAUGAAGUCCUAAUUGAAAACUACAUCCCAAGGAGCACUGUGUACCGCUUGCUGUGAAAUAAUGUCAAUUGGAAAUCAGAAAGUUUUGAAGUUGAAGUUACCUGGGUACCACUGGUUACCGGCCACAGAAUAGCACCAGCACCAGCAACCCUAGCUUUUGCACUAGAUAUAGAUGGUAAGCGAGAUCCAAGUGCAGUUGCAGAGCGGUAGACAACAUUUAGUACCUUUGUAUGUUCAACCUGAUCACGUAGAUCAUUCAACCAAGAGGAUGCGGUGACCUGAUUCAAAACCAACUUGGGUAAGAAGCAGAACAAGAAUACAUCACAAAUUUGGUCUUGCAACUCUAAUGUGGUCCACAUUGUUACUCCUAUUUAAUUAACUUUGACAUAAUUUUUCUAAAUUAUUAGUUUGAUUAAAAAAGAAAAGGACAUUUUAGAUAAAAACUAGCCUAAUAGGAAUGGCCAUAGACGCUCGAUGAAGUAUGUAAUGAACUUUAAUAUUUUGACAAAAUCAUCUAAAGUCCUAGCUAACGCACCUCAGAACGGAGAUCAUCAAUAGAUGAAGUUGAGAAUGUUGGCACCAAGUCAGAACCAUUUAUAAUGGUAGUAAUAAAGUGUUUUCCUGAUUCUGCUAACUCCCAUGUCAUACAAGCAGCUGCAAAACAGAAAAUCACGAUACAACAAAUUAGCAAGAGAAGUAUGAUAAAAGCAGAAAGGAUCCCAUAUUAGAGAAAAUUCAAUGUAAUAAAGCAAAUUAAUCAAACAGAAUCAUGGACAGCAUUGUAUUAAACAAGAAUUUCAAAACAAAUAAAUAUCAUGAGAUGUGUUGCACUCAUCACUUAUCUUUCGUUUAGUGUUUAUUUGCAAAAGUAACUAGAAACUACAUAAAUUUUACAAUUUUUAGGCAAAAAUAGGCAUGCUUGCUAUCAAGUAAUCGUUACUUUUGCCAUCAAACAAAUAAUAAGAAAAGUACAAACUUCAAAGAUAUAGUACAUCCUUGACAAUAAUAAUGUGCUGAAGUAAUUGGAAAUCUCAUAUGGCCACAGAGAAAGUUCAGUGAACUUGCAUGCACAUUCACACAAUCAAUCAAGAUAAUGACAGGGAGUUAUAAAAUGCAAAAUCUAAUGAAUAAUCUAAUUGCUCAAUUGAAUAGAAACUGAGUAAGUAGUAUAACUACAUGCCUGGGGCAAAUGUGACACAUGUGCUUGAAGAGAACUCUUUCUGCUCUCUAAGAAUAUAUGUUAACAGUGCAGCAGUACCACCACCAAGUGAGUGCCCAACAAUCUAUAGAAAGAUAAAAUAGGAAAACAGAUUAGUAAACAUACUUAUACAGGCAUGUAUACAACACUCACGAGAGAGAAUUAAAAAUGAAAUACAAUUUUAAAAUGAAGAAAUAAAUUAUGAAAAAGGGAAUGUAGAGUAAUAAGGCAUAAUGUAAGAAAGAAGAAAAUAAAUGAAAAUAUAUUAUACUAUAAUUUAUCAUUAUUGGUGAGUUAUCUACUGUUAUACAUCGAUGUAAUGAUACAGUUUUCCAAAUAAAAUAUCAAACCAAUACCUUGACUUUGAAGUCUGGACAUUCACCAAGAGCCUUAAGUAGGGUAGGAGUGCAGAGCUUAGCAAUCCAACGAGCUGCAGCAACCAUGCCACAGUGUGCAUAUCCUAAAACCAAGUUGCUUAUCCCACCAUCAUUUAAAACUGAAUGGUGGAAUGGGACAACAGCACCAGUUGCAGCUGUCAGUGUGUCUUUUAUGCUAUGAGUACCCCGGAUCAAUAGAAGUAAACAUUUUGACUGUGUAUCACGUAUAAUUGUGAAUGCAGGCUUCAGAAGCUGCAAAAAUAUAUCAUGCCAUAGAAUCAAAUUGAAGAAAAUUAGGAAAACAUGCAGAAACACUUCAGAAGUUGAAAGUUAGGAAAAAAGAGAGAGA